UUCUGAAGGAAAUACAUCUAGCUGGAAGCCACAAAACUGUUUCUAAAUAUAGGUUAGUUUACUGAAGGAGCAGGAGCCAGUGCCUCUGAGAUAUUUUAUUUCUGUGAUAGAAUGAAUUUCACAACUGAAUUAAGUCACCAGAAUGUGAUACAGAAGGACCCAGCAUGAUGGAUUUCUCAGUGGGCCCUGUUGAGGACUCCAAUCUUCCGACUUCCACAACCGUGACUCUUCUCAUGCAUCCAGGUCCCCUGCCAGCUUCAUAAACUCAAGCUCCCUGGAGAAAUCUUAGAACCAUGUGAUCCAAUCUAGCUAGUGCCAUGAUCAAAAAAAAAAAAAAAAAAGUGACAUUUGGGUGUGUAGAAUAUGCUUUCGAAAAAAUACACCGUGAGUUUAUUUUUAGAGUAGUGGAGCAUUCAAACCACCUACCCGACACUUGACAGUGCCUUCAGAGGGAGUGUGCCGAGUUCCCAGCUUUUCAAGAAGAGGUGAUUUUCCAAGAAAUUGGCCAGCCACUUGCAGUACACUGAGAACUGUUUGAAUCUGGAUCCUGUUCCUCAAAACAAAUUAUUAAAUACCUACUGUAUGCAAGAAAUCACGAGACCUGCAAGAUGAAUUUAAUAGGCCUCUCCCUUGGGAAACAUAUGUCCUCGUAGAGGAUGAAGAGGGUAACGGUAAUAAAAAUAACUAAUAAUUACUAUUUGCUUCACAUACAUCAUCUUACAUGAUCUCCAGGACACCCACAGCAAGUAAGCAAAUUACUAGUUCUCAUUUGCAGAUGAGCAAAGUGGGGCAGAAAAAUUAAAUAACCUUGCCAGGCCAGAAGACGCACGAAGUCCUGAAACCAAGGUUCAAGUUGUAAGAGUCUGAUACAGCAUGCCCACCUCUCAGCGCUGCGCUAUAGAGACAUGCCCAUACCAAUGACGCAAAGACAGAAAUGUGGGUAGGGCCUGACCCGUCAUAGAAAACAGAGUCAUGGGGAGACUUGAGAGAGACACCUUUGAGAGCUGAGGCUACUGUGGUAGUACAAAUGGAAAUUUUAGAUGGUCUCCUUUGUCUUCAUCCCUCCUUUCAAGCUACCUCUUUUAUACGGUGUUCUUGCUUUUCUUCAGGUUCCCAGUGCCCUUUCCAUUGCCCUUCUUAGCUCUCGGGGUCUAAGUGUUUUUCUGAAAAAAAAAAAAAAUAAUAAACAAUGAGUAAUCAGAAAAGACCUGUGAAACACUCCCAAGCCAACAUCAACCACACCCCUCAGCGGCCUCCAUGCCUCUGCCCACGCUGCUGUGGUACUGGAUGUCCCUCCCCUGCAUGCUGUCCCCCAGGUUAGCCCUCCAUUGUACAUUGGGUUUUAGGCAUUGUCACUGCAUCUCACUCUAUAUCCCAGACUGGUCUGGAACUCAGCAUAUAACAUUAGUCCAGCCUGACCUCCAACUCCUGGCAAUCCUCCUGCCUCAGAGUCCCAAAUAGCUGGGGUUACGAGUAUAUACCACCACACCCAUCUGAUUGUUUCCUUGUUACAAAUUCCACACCUAACCACUGGAGUAUCAUGAAGUUUGUCUUUCUUGACCUAUUUUCCUUUCAUGAUCUUAUCUGAGCAUGUGGUUGACAAUAUCACCUGUAAUGCUAACAAUUCUAAAAUGUGUAUCUUAGAUGCUUUCUAAGUUCCCAAAUUAUACAUCCAAUUGUUUACCUACUAAGUGGGCCAGCCCUACUACACAGCGGUCGAAAAGACAUCUGAAACAGGACAGGUUGAAGGUGUGUCACUCACUUCAAGCUACUUAUUCUGGCUGCCUUCCCCUUCUCUACCAACAGUAAUGUCAUUCCUCUGGCUGCUCUCAGGUCAAAACAAUUGAAGUAAUUUUUGCUCUUGUCUCCAUUCUGUAAGUAGCAAAUUCUGUGAGGUAUGUUAAGAAUCUAACCAUUUCCCCCCUUUUGCCUGAUGGGUUCCUGCCACACUGGCCACCUCUCCAGUUAUUAAACACAAACUCCCUUUCCUGCCCUCCAUCUUCCCUUGGCUUUCAAAAACUCUCCCCACAUCACAUCGAUUCUCAGAUUUCAUGUUUGGAGGAAAGACAUCCACUCAAAUCUCAUCCCCACCCCCACCCCCACCCCCAAGCCAUACUCUUGUUAUGCCAUUUGCCUUGCUUUGCUUAGAACUUACCACAGGCGGAGACAGACCUGCGACUCAUCCUCUGUGUAGACCCCAACAAAUACUUUUCGAAUUAAUGAUAAGGAACUCCUUGAAAGUUGGAGAUUAAGGAGAGAGCCAACCCAGAGUUCCAUGAAUACACUGUAGCAAGGGUUGUUGACUCCAUUCUAGAGCAAGGGAAGCCAGAAUCAGAGACUAGUUGACAGGCGUCUGCAAGUUGAACCAGCUAAAUCAAGAUUUUUGCAGAGAUGGUGGAGGAAGAAUCUGGAAUCCUGUUCUCUGAUCUGCUUGGAUCUCCUCGUGCCUGUAUUGUACUGCUUGCUCACCAGCGUCUAGGAGAGACUUCCCGUUUGCUUGAGACUGGGAUUCUCUCCUCUACAGCUAAAUAAACAUUCUCCUUGUCAUUCAAGCAAGGCCUAUUAGAC